rnacentral:lncRNA from 1 species
UUAAGUAUUUUAUACCCGAGAGAUUGUAACGUGUCUCUUUCUUUCGGAGGACCUAAUGGGGGCAAUAAUAUAACAUCACCGUCACCAUCGGGAGCAUAAUAAUCAACCCCAAAACGACCCAACAAUUGUUUCUGUUUAAAUAUCGCCCAUUCUUUUAACAUAGGCGUCUCAUAAGGAAUUGCGGGUUCAGCAGAACGUCCAAAUAUCGGAGGUGAACGCGUUAAAGAAAGUCCUCUAAAUACGCCUAAAGUUUUAUCAUCGGGAUGAAUUAAUGGCUCGCUCGUUUUUCCCAUGAUCUAGAAAAAGGAUUACAAUAUGGAACGUAUGAGUAAAAUCUACGAUCUAAGAUAAGAUGUUUUGAAGUCAUAGAUAUCAUGAUCAAUCUAUUCGUGGGUCAAAUACAUCUCGUACAGAUCUCAAACAUGCAUACAGAUAUGUAUAUAUAUAAACAUCAAGAGAGAUCAAUCGGUAUAAAAAAUAUAUAAAUACCUGAGAUCUUUAAUGAUCAAACCUUCGAUGGCGAUAUGAAGGUUGGAACACUGAAAGGAAAUCGGUACCUUUUUUUCGCCUCGUUUAAAUCACAAGCCUGAAAAAGUGGGGGGCAUUUGUUGAAGCAUAAAAAAGAAAAAAGAAUAAAAAGAAAAAAAAAAGAAGAAGAAGAAAAGAGAGAAAAAAAUAAAUAAGAAUAGAGAUGGUUUAUGAGAUUAUCCAUGCACCAGGUGCAUGGAUAAAAUUUAAAUUUUGAAAAUAUCUCAUGCACCUGAUUGCAAAAAAAAUAAUACGUACGGGUAUAUAAAAUAGCAUAUUAGUCUAUUCCCUUUUAUAUAUUUACAAAAUGCCCCACCUUAAUCAAGGUGUAAUAUGAUCAAAGGGAAAGGACUAAUCCGCAAUAUUCCCGCAAUCCCAUCCUAACCACCCAAUAUCUCACAAUCUCAUCACAACCGUCCAAAAUACCCCACAAUCUCAUCUCAACCAUCCAAAAUCUCUCCCACAAUCCCAUGAUACUAUCGUAACAACCUAUACCCACGAUCCCAUCAUCCCACGAUCCUCAACCAUCCCACAACCCCGUUACCGCCUCACCGAUACGCACAUCCUCCACGCUCCCCUCAAAUCGCUCGCGCACUCCCUCAAGUCGGUGACGAAACCACCCAUAAAUACCUGUGAAGAAAAAUCGCAAGGAAGAGAGCUUUUGAAUUUCAAA